AUGCCAAGAAUCCCUCAGUGCCCUGUUCCAGCCUGCCCCAAGAUUCUGACACCUCACAACUGCACACAUGGAGGAGAAAGCAGAAGCUUAGAGAAACGCCAAGAAUCCCCCUGUGCUCUGUUCCAGCCUGUCCAAAAUUCUGACACCUCACACCCCUUCUGGAAGCAAUGGCUGUCCCGCCAGCAGACCAGGCCCCCUUGGAGGCACAGUCCUCUUCUUUGGCCCCUCUGAAAGACUACACCUCAGGUCUGGAUUCCUGUGUCAGAGGAACAGAAAGGCUCUUUCUGUGGAGAGUUUGGCGUGGUGGCCUUCCUGUCACUGGGUAGGAGGGGCCCGGGGGACAGUGAGUGGGGAGCAUGUGUGUGAGGGGUAGCUGAGAUAGAAGGUGGAGAAGAGUGGGUGUCAAGAGGAGGCUGGAGGAGAGAGGAAGGGGGGAGAAUGAAUGCUGGUGAGUGCCUUUGUGGUCACCUACCACCUUAACCUCAUCAUCCUGUCCAUCUCAGUCCAUGUGUGGUGGACAUACAACAAAGUCUGAGUAUCUGGAACUUAGUAUUUAAUGCUUAUGCUACAGUUAGUCCUGUGGUGCUGCUCAGUUCUGAUAAAAGAAUAAUCAGUAUUCUGAAAAGCACACAAUGUAAGAGCCAUUAAUGUUUACUAAUAUUGUGAUGGCAUAUUUUUCUUUAAAAUGUAUUUUAAUGCAGUUAAAUUAUUCAGUAGCAUAAAAUUUUUUUAAUUUCUGUAAGAGGAACAUUUCAUUUUUUCAUAUAUACAGGUUUUUUUUUUUUGACAGGCAGAGUGGACAGUGAGAGAGAGAGACAGAGAGAAAGGUCUUCCUUUGCCGUUGGUUCACCCUCCAGUGGCCGCCGCGGCCGGCACGCUGCGGCCGGCGCACCGCGCUGAUCCGAUGGCAGGAGCCAGGAGCCAGGUACUUAUCCUGGUCUCCCAUGGGGUGCAGGGCCCAAGUAGUUGGGCCAUCCUCCACUGCACUCCCUGGCCACAGCAGAGGGCUGGCCUGGAAGAGGGGCAACCGGGACAGAAUCCGGCGCCCCAACCGGGACUAGAACCCGGUGUGCCGGCGCCGCUAGGCGGAGGAUUAGCCUAGUGAGCCGUGGCGCCGGCCCAUAUAUACAGUUUUAAGAACAAAAUGAUACUUUAUCAGAUUAAAAUAAAGUGCAAUUAUUUGAUAAUUCUUUACUUCA
ensembl:lncRNA